rnacentral:ribozyme from 1 species
AGAAGAAAGGAAAAAAAAAAAAAAAAAAAAAAUAAUUUCAAAAAGGGCGCAAAUUAUUUUUUUCUCUCUUUUUU